rnacentral:rRNA from 1 species
CAGUCGCCACGGUAAUACGUAAGGUGCAAGCGUUAAUCGGGAUUACUGGGCGUAAAGCGUGCGCAGGCGGCUAUGCAAGACAGAUGUGAAAUCCCCGGGCUCAACCUGGGAACUGCAUUUGUGACUGCAUGGCUAGAGUACGGUAGAGGGGGAUGGAAUUCCGCGUGUAGCAGUGAAAUGCGUAGAUAUGCGGAGGAACACCGAUGGCGAAGGCAAUCCCCUGGACCUGUACUGACGCUCAUGCACGAAAGCGUGGGGAGCAAACAGGAUUAGAGACCCCUGUAGUCCCUGUCUCUUAUAC